rnacentral:rRNA from 1 species
GGGUUGUGAGGUUAAGCGACUAAGCGUACACGGUGGAUGCCCUGGCAGUCAGAGGCGAUGAAGGACGUGCUAAUCUGCGAUAAGCGUCGGUAAGGUGAUAUGAACCGUUAUAACCGGCGAUUUCCGAAUGGGGAAACCCAGUGUGUUUCGACACACUAUCAUUAACUGAAUCCAUAGGUUAAUGAGGCGAACCGGGGGAACUGAAACAUCUAAGUACCCCGAGGAAAAGAAAUCAACCGAGAUUCCCCCAGUAGCGGCGAGCGAACGGGGAGCAGCCCAGAGCCUGAAUCAGUGUGUGUGUUAGUGGAAGCGUCUGGAAAGGCGCGCGAUACAGGGUGACAGCCCCGUACACAAAAAUGCACAUGCUGUGAGCUCGAUGAGUAGGGCGGGACACGUGGUAUCCUGUCUGAAUAUGGGGGGACCAUCCUCCAAGGCUAAAUACUCCUGACUGACCGAUAGUGAACCAGUACCGUGAGGGAAAGGCGAAAAGAACCCCGGCGAGGGGAGUGAAAAAGAACCUGAAACCGUGUACGUACAAGCAGUGGGAGCACGCUUAGGCGUGUGACUGCGUACCUUUUGUAUAAUGGGUCAGCGACUUAUAUUCUGUAGCAAGGUUAACCGAAUAGGGGAGCCGAAGGGAAACCGAGUCUUAACUGGGCGUUAAGUUGCAGGGUAUAGACCCGAAACCCGGUGAUCUAGCCAUGGGCAGGUUGAAGGUUGGGUAACACUAACUGGAGGACCGAACCGACUAAUGUUGAAAAAUUAGCGGAUGACUUGUGGCUGGGGGUGAAAGGCCAAUCAAACCGGGAGAUAGCUGGUUCUCCCCGAAAGCUAUUUAGGUAGCGCCUCGUGAAUUCAUCUCCGGGGGUAGAGCACUGUUUCGGCAAGGGGGUCAUCCCGACUUACCAACCCGAUGCAAACUGCGAAUACCGGAGAAUGUUAUCACGGGAGACACACGGCGGGUGCUAACGUCCGUCGUGAAGAGGGAAACAACCCAGACCGCCAGCUAAGGUCCCAAAGUCAUGGUUAAGUGGGAAACGAUGUGGGAAGGCCCAGACAGCCAGGAUGUUGGCUUAGAAGCAGCCAUCAUUUAAAGAAAGCGUAAUAGCUCACUGGUCGAGUCGGCCUGCGCGGAAGAUGUAACGGGGCUAAACCAUGCACCGAAGCUGCGGCAGCGACGCUGAUGCGUUGUUGGGUAGGGGAGCGUUCUGUAAGCCUGCGAAGGUGUGCUGUGAGGCAUGCUGGAGGUAUCAGAAGUGCGAAUGCUGACAUAAGUAACGAUAAAGCGGGUGAAAAGCCCGCUCGCCGGAAGACCAAGGGUUCCUGUCCAACGUUAAUCGGGGCAGGGUGAGUCGACCCCUAAGGCGAGGCCGAAAGGCGUAGUCGAUGGGAAACAGGUUAAUAUUCCUGUACUUGGUGUUACUGCGAAGGGGGGACGGAGAAGGCUAUGUUGGCCGGGCGACGGUUGUCCCGGUUUAAGCGUGUAGGCUGGUUUUCCAGGCAAAUCCGGAAAAUCAAGGCUGAGGCGUGAUGACGAGGCACUACGGUGCUGAAGCAACAAAUGCCCUGCUUCCAGGAAAAGCCUCUAAGCAUCAGGUAACAUCAAAUCGUACCCCAAACCGACACAGGUGGUCAGGUAGAGAAUACCAAGGCGCUUGAGAGAACUCGGGUGAAGGAACUAGGCAAAAUGGUGCCGUAACUUCGGGAGAAGGCACGCUGAUAUGUAGGUGAAGUCCCUUGCGGAUGGAGCUGAAAUCAGUCGAAGAUACCAGCUGGCUGCAACUGUUUAUUAAAAACACAGCACUGUGCAAACACGAAAGUGGACGUAUACGGUGUGACGCCUGCCCGGUGCCGGAAGGUUAAUUGAUGGGGUUAGCCGCAAGGCGAA